rnacentral:misc_RNA from 1 species
UUUCCGUAGGUGAACCUGCGGAUGGAUCAUUAAAGAACGCCCCGUUUUUUGAAAUGGGUAAUUCUAAACCGUGUAUACAUACCUUUGUUGCUUUGGCAGGCCGCCCCUCAGGGCGUCGGUUCCGGCUGACUGCGCCUGCCAGAGGACCCAAACUCUUUUGUUUAGUGAUGUCUGAGUACUAUAUAACAGUUAAAACUUUCAACAACGGAUCUCUUGGUUCUG